rnacentral:rRNA from 1 species
UUGGAGGGCAAGUCUGGUGCCAGCAGCCGCGGUAAUUCCAGCUCCAAUAGCGUAUAUUAAAGUUGUUGCAGUUAAAAAGCUCGUAGUUGAAUUUCGGGAUCAAAUUGUCGGUCGUGCCUCGGUACGCACUGGUAUAAUUGGUUCCUACCUUCUGAAGAACCGCGAUGUCAUUAAUUUGGUGUCGUGGGGAAUCAGGACUGUUACUUUGAAAAAAUUAGAGUGUUUAAAGCAGGCUUACGCUUGAAUACAUUAGCAUGGAAUAAUGAAAUAGGACGUUUGAUUCUAUUUUGUUGGUUUCUAGGAUUGACGUAAUGAUUAAUAGGGAUAGUUGGGGGCAUUAGUAUUCAAUUGUCAGAGGUGAAAUUCUUGGAUUUAUUGAAGACUAACUACUGCGAAAGCAUUUGCCAAGGAUGUUUUCAUUAAUCAAGAACGAAAGUUAGGGGAUCGAAGACGAUCAGAUACCGUCGUAGUCUUAACCAUAAACUAUGCCGACUAGGGAUCGGAUGAUGUUAAUUUUUUAAUGACUCAUUCGGCGCCUUACGGGAAACCAAAGUGUUUGGGUUC